rnacentral:rRNA from 1 species
CCCUUAGAUGUUCGGGGCCGCACGCGCGCUACACUGAUGAAAUCAACUGGUUUUAUCGUCCUGGUCCGGCAGGAUUGGGUAAUCCGUUGAACUUUCGUCGUGCUUGGGAUCGGAGCUUGUAAUUAUUCUCCGUGAACGAGGAAUUCCCAGUAAGCGCAAGUCAUCAACUUGCGUUGAUUACGUCCCUGCCCUUUGUACACACCGCCCGUCGCUACUGCCAACUGAGAUGGGUCCUGAAUUGUUAGGAACGCCCGUCAAGGGGCCUACCCGGCCCCUAGUGCGGUGACGAGAAUAACUGUAAAUGGCAUAUCUUGUAGGGAGUAAAAGUCGUAACA